AAUGACUUGGAGUAAGACGACGUUAUUUCCACGGUUUAUCAAACUUCUUGCAGCUAGUCUUCCCGUUAGAAACAUCACUGCCGACAAACUUAGGGUUUGAUUUUCAUUCCAAAAAUUUUGAGCGGUAAUUUUGGAAUCAUUAAACACCUCUUCUCCACUAUCAAGGUCUUGAUCUUACACUCCCUUCUGCCCGCAGGAUUUGUGGUAACCAUGUCUCUCAAUCCACUUGGAAAACGUCUCCGGUGCAAGUCCCUGAUUCAACAAAUCGGCGUCCAACGGAAAACUGAAGAUGAAUUGGGAUAUCAACCCAGAUCGCCAACCAUAGUACAUGAAUCUGAUUCGCAAGACGACAACGACUAUGUGCCAAUUGCACUUGGAUUGCCUUCAAAAAGUAUACACAUAUAUCCCGAAUUGUUUAAGGAUAAUGCCUUAAGUGUUGGUGGAUAUGUGAAAGGCAGAAAGAUGGUGAUACGGGAAUAUUCUAAGUCUAUUCGGCGGCCUCCUAAUAUGAACUGUCGGGUUGAGUCAUUUGGGAGAAUUUGUCAAAAAUUUGAUGAUAGAAAGACAAGAUGGGUUGGUGAGAUGGGAUUCGGGGGAUUGCUUCAUUUUGCCAAGGAUAUGCAUUUACCAAGACAAUUAGCUUAUUGGGAAUGACCCGAAUUGAUCCAAUGAGUAGGGUCUUUAUAGGCACAGAUGGUCGGGUAUUUCCUUUCUCUAAAAACCAAGUUUGUUGGGUUUUAGGAAUCCCUUGUGGAUCAAAUGUGGUACCGUCUACAAAAGGAAUGUCUGUUACUCUACGCGAUAAGGUACAAACCAUAUUAUUAAAAUAUGGUAGGACAUGGGAGACCAAACCAGCAACAAAAUUGGGUAGGUCGUACACAUCUGUAGGCAUUCAAGUCACUGUUGCGAUGAUGGAUAAGUUGGAAGGCUAUUUUGAAGAAGACCAAGAAGAAGACUUUAAGACUUUGUUCUUGAUUAUAGCCCUGCAGAUGAUUUUAUGUCCAACACAAUCACCAAGAUUACCUCACGAUUUGUUACCGGCUAUUGGAUGUGCCAUGGAUAGUAGUCAAUAUGAUUGGUGUGAGUUGGUACUUGCUAAAUUAAUGGACAAUGUGUCAAGCUUUGCUAGGCGUUUUUAUGCGAAUGGUUUUGCAGGAGGAUGCGGUGGUUGCUCUAUUUUUGUUGUUUUGUUCUACCUUGACCGACUCAAUUGGGAGCCUAUCAAAUUGGAAACGUACCCAAGAAUAAAGGCUUGGGACAUGAAGCAGAUAGGCAUUGCUGCAAAGCGUGACUGAUUAAGGUCAGGGGACUAUGGCAAAUUAGGGAUGUUGGAUGCCGCAUACGGGGAAAGGCACCCUAGAGAGGCGCGGGACACAGUAGCACCCCCAGAUUAUCCAUUGUAUGAAGACGUCUCCAAACAGGUGGUGUGUGCUAGGAAUAGAAGGAGGCGUGAUGACUUGCGCUCUAACCGCUGGAGCUCUAAGUAUGUAACCGACAGUUUAACAGCCAAGGGUGAAGAUGGAGAUUAUACCACUUCCCCAUGAUAUAAGCAUAGGUUCCAAUAUGAGCUGGUUCUUUAUAUGAUUUAUGUUCUUCAUUUGUGAAGUCAACAAAUACUUUAAAUAUGAGUAUCAUUUGAACGGUUUGUAUGUAAUAUGUAUUAUAGGUUUUUUAGUUGAUGAAGUGGCCUGGCGGCAUGACAACAUUCAUCUUCGAUGAUGUAUCCUCAUAAAGUGUAAUUGGUUCGGCCCAUUUAGGUAGUGGAAACUGGAAAGGGCCAUAAUACGCACCUGUGUGUUGCAGUGCUCAUUUGUUUGGGAUCA